GACGAACGCUGGCGGCGUGCUUAACACAUGCAAGUCGAACGGAAAGGCCCUGCUUUUGUGGGGUGCUCGAGUGGCGAACGGGUGAGUAACACGUGAGUAACCUGCCCUUGACUUUGGGAUAACUUCAGGAAACUGGGGCUAAUACCGGAUAGGAGCUCCUGCUGCAUGGUGGGGGUUGGAAAGUUUCGGCGGUUGGGGAUGGACUCGCGGCUUAUCAGCUUGUUGGUGGGGUAGUGGCUUACCAAGGCUUUGACGGGUAGCCGGCCUGAGAGGGUGACCGGCCACAUUGGGACUGAGAUACGGCCGAGACUACUACGGGAGGCAGCAGUGGGGAAUAUUGCACUAUGGGCGGAAGCCUGAUGCAGCAACGCCGCGUGCGGGAUGACGGCCUUCGGGUUGUAAACCGCUUUCGCCUGUGACGAAGCGUGAGUGACGGUAAUGGGUAAAGAAGCACCGGCUAACUACGUG
rnacentral:rRNA from 1 species